CUACGGGCGGCAGCAGUAAAGAAUCUUCCGCAAUGGACGAAAGUCUGACGGAGCGACACCGCGUGGUGGAUGAAGGCCUUUGGGUCGUAAACACCUUUUAUGAGGGAAGAAAAUCUGACGGUACCUCAUGAAUAAGCACCAGCUAAUUACGUGCCAGCAGCCGCGGUAAUACGUAAGGUGCAAGCGUUAUCCGGAAUUAUUGGGCGUAAAGCGUCCGCAGGUGGUGUAGUAAGUCUGUCAUUAAAUAUCGGUGCUCAACAUCGAUGCUGUGAUGGAAACUAUUACGCUAGAGGAUGGGAGAGGUAUAUGGAAUUGCGCAAGUAGGGGUAAAAUCCGUAGAUAUGCGCAGGAACACCAAAAGCGAAGGCAGUAUACUGGACCAUUCCUGACACUCAGGGACGAAAGCGUGGGGAGCAAAAGGGAUUAGAUACCCGGGUAGUC
rnacentral:rRNA from 1 species